CUCCAAGUUUUGUCCAAUUUUUUCCACACCAUUGCCCCAACACCCCAUCCUAUCUCUAGCAUGGGGUUUAGCACAUAGUUAAGUUCAGCACAUAUAUCUUAUAUGAGUAUCAGGAAAGAGUACAUACUACACACACACACACACACUCUCACUCACACACACACAUACAUUCUCUCUCACACACACACACACACACACACACACACGCACGCAUACGCACGCACGCGCGCACACGCGCACACACGCCUGACUGUGUGACCCCCUCCUUUCCCCACCUGGGCUUUCCUGGGUUCUUUUCUCCUGUCUUUAUUUCAUGCCCUUACACACUCUGCUCAGUACUUAACCCUCCAUGAUGUUUCUUUUUUCUCCCUUUUCCAUGAUGUUUCCCUUUAUUUUCCUAGGACCCCAGGAGGCAGGAAGCCUCAUAGCUUGGCCCAGUGCAGUGAUUUUGCUCUUGUGUUUCUGUCUUUUAUUAUUCAUUCACUUAAUAGCCAACCCUUCUUUGCUACUAGGUGGCUUUAAGGAAUGAAGGAAAAAAAAAAGGACCCCAAAUCUUUCCUUAGAGGACAGAAGAGAUGGUUCAAAUAAGAAGAAUCCAAGGCAGCAAACCCCCCUCCAAAAAAACUCACAAAACCCUCACAAAAAUGGGUAUCCUACUAAAGAAUAUCAUGAUAAUCCUGUGAAAAACAAAAAUGGUAAUAAGAGGGUAAUACUCUCAUACUUAUUAAGUGACUACUGUAUGUGAGGCACUCUUGGAAGAGCUUCGCAUGUAUUGACACAUUUAAUUACUAAAACGAUGAAGCAGAUGCUGUUUGUAUCCUCAUUUUAUAGGGGAGGAGACUGAGGCACAGAGAGGUUGAGCGACUUGCCCAUGGUUGCACAGAUGCCAAAAAUGUGACCACAGGACCUCAGAGUCUGUGCUUUCACGCAGGGCACUGUGACAUCUCUCCUACCCGUGGGGCUGGAAGAUCAGGGAAAGCUUCAUGGAGGAUGGGGCGUUGACCUUGAGAGAAAAGGCAGAGGUUGGGUGUUUGGAAUUAGGGGCAAGGCAUGCAUUUCAGCUGAAGGGUAGGAGUGUUUUCCAAAUGCCAGCACUCUGUGACAGCCUAAGGUCAGGGACUAUGUGGUCUGUUUCUUUUGUGUGGCUUGAUGUUGCCAAGACUAAGGCUCAGAGGAUAAAUGAAUAAAAUCUAUUGUGUUUUACAUGUAAUUUUUCUAGUUUUCUUCUUUUUAUUCCCCUCAUGAUGUUCAGCUGCAAAUACAGGAGUUUGGGAAGCUCUGACCACCAGGCAGGAGAGAACAAUGUAUUCUGGGGAUGCAGGAUUUCCUCCUUUGGACCCACUUCCAAUAGAAAUCCCCACACACAUCGUAUCUUCCAUCUGUCUGCUGAAACACAAAGAUAAAUGUCUUGACAAGAGAGCAAGGGAGAGGUUUUGACAACACCAAAGAUGCUUGAAAGCAGAGAAUCUUGUAGGGCUUAAGAAAGAAAGACUUUCAUCUCUCAGAUUCAUUUCUCCGGGGAGCAUUAACUGCCCCCAGACGAGUCACCACAAUGCAGCAACCGGUAAAACUAUUUUCCCUGUCUCCAAGGCAUCCCUGAAGCACCAAGAGGCCAAUUCCUCUCGGGGAGACAUGCAAGUUACAAAAUGCAGGGCAGGGAGGAAGCAGCAAGCAGUCAAUUCGCCUGGAAAGAGCUGUGUGAGAAUCAUAGGUGUAAUUUACUAGCUUUCAGUUGCCGCUUCAGAGGGGCAAAGUCCGAAUACUUCUUAGGUAUCGAAGUUGUGCUCCCCGUGGCGUGGCCCUAAAACAUUUCCGUUGUAUUAUCAGGUUCUGUGCUGGGUCCACCGAUUGCCUAAUUACUCUUGCGGGGCUCCUUCUGCUCUCUCCCUUCCGUUUGCUGCAGCCAGGAAUUAUAACCCUGAUUGUUCCAGACUGUUUCUCGGACAUUCACGUGUUUCCCUUAACUGGAGAAGACACCGCGGUGCAGUCGCCUCCCUUCUGGGACUGGAAGAUGAGAUAUUUUGUAAGUUUGUCUCAUCCUCUGAAGCACACGGGGGGGAUGCUUUCCCUUGACCCUUCCCACAGACUCUGUCCUCCUCCUCCGAAUGCACAAACAUUUCCUCUGCGUCCUAUGCUCACCCCUAGAGCGAUAAAGAAUGGCAAUCCAGCCUGAGAUGAGUUUCCCCGCUGUGGUGCAUCUCUUGAAUAUUAAACACAAGCUGUGUUUCUUCAAUCCUCAAGUUUAGUAGAGGUGACUGGCCCCUGAUUCCGAAUGCAUAUGUAUCCAAAGGCAGUAGAAAUGUGUGUGUGACCAAGAGUCAAGUUCUGAGCUUCUAUAAGAGGGAUGAGUGACUAGAAGUGACAAUGAACUCUUCUUCACCAAGGUGCUUCACGGGGCUGCCUUCUGGUAACCUUCAGUAGCCCUGAGCCAACUUCUAAGAAGUUUUCUGCCCUAAAGCCACAGUGCUGGAGAGAGAGAGAGGAUGUGCCAAGAAUACACAGCCAUAGAGGUGCCCUGGGACGCCACGAGUCCUCCCAGCAUGUACCAUGGGACACGAGAGGGAGCUUUCAGAUGAUUCCAUGUUCCAGCCUUGAAGAUGCUCCAGCCAAUACCCAGUGGAACAGGGAUAAGUUGAUCCCACCAAGCUUUACCUCAAAUGCAGAUUCAGGAGCAAAAUAAAUGUUGUUGGUUUAAAUCACUAAGUUCAGGCUGCUUAGUCACACAGUCACCCAGUAAUGAGUGGAACACAUUUAACUUGCAGGCGGGGACUUCUUCAACCCCAUCCAUUUGCAUAUAUUGCAAACAUUUCCCAAAAUGCCUGGGCUUUCAAGUUACCCUUCCCUGGUUCAUAUGAUAUUUUCUUUAAUGUAUUUUUUAUUUCUUAUUCAUAUAAAAAUAUUUUUUAUUCUCAUUGCUCAUUUUAUUAAAAUUGUAGGUAAAGAGGAAAAUAUGGCUUCAAAUUGCCACAGAAAAUAGAGAUUUGGCUUCCAAUUCAGACACUGUGUUAUAUGCUUAAGUCCCCAUUCUUUAUUCACGUGACAGUAUAAAUGAAUUUAUCAGAUCAGCCAUUGUCAUUAGCCCAGCUAUUACACUCUUUGGCCCGACCUGUGUGUAUACAUGAUAUUAAUAAUUUGGGGGGAUUUUAUGUGUUCAUAUGUUCAAUUGAUAGGAUAAACUAUGCCUAAAUGUUGUUAAUCCAGCAAGGCAGCUCAGCACAAAAUAACCAGAGCAGAGUGCUACCUAAGGAUAAGUAACAAUAAUAAUGCCCUCCCAAUUUCAUGUGGAAUCAACAGAUUCUCAAAUCACCAGAAUCUGCAUAUAGAAUGUCAAAAGCAAAAGAUUAAAAUUCCAAAAAUAUGACAGUUUUGUAAAAUGGGCAAUAGUUGAUCAUCUUCCAUCUGGGUUGACAGAUGAUCUGAAGUGUUGAAAAUAUUCCUGAACAUGCUCUGUUACAGAGGAUUUGCAUUGUCCUCUUGUCCUCGUUGGUUUCUAGAUGUUGAGCCCUGAAACAUUCUUUUCCUCAUCCUAAUGGGCAUGUUCUUUUUUGCAUUUCUUCUUUUAAUGACAACAUUUGAAGAGUCUUUGGGGGAAAUAAGAUCUCUGGUGAAGGUGGGAGAGGCAGAGAGUCACUGGCGAUGCAAAGAGCACAGGUGCAGAGGCUGGACUUGGGACGAGGUCUUGGCACUGCCACUUCCCGGCUCAUGAACAUGGGCAAGUUACCAUCUUGGAGCGCCAGUGUCUUUCUCUGAGAAGUAGGCAUAAUUAUACAUAUCAUUUUGCUCAGGCUGUCAUAACAAAGCACCAUAGACCUGGUGGGUUAGACAACUGAAACUUAUUUUCUCAUGGAUCUGGAGGCCAGAAGUCCAAGGUUGAGGUAUCAGCUGGACUGGUUUUUUUCUGUGGCCUUGCUCCUUGGCUUGCAGAUGGCCGUCUCCUCCCUGUGUCUUCAUGAUCCUCCCCCUGUGCCUGUGUCCUAAUCUCCUCCUCUUUCAAGGACACCAGUCAUGUUGGAUUAGGCUUCACCACAAUGACCUCAUUUCAACUCAAUCACCUCUUUAAAGACACUCUCUCCAAAUGCAGUCACAUUCUGAGCACUGAGGGCUAGGGCUUCAACAUAUGAAUUUUGAGAAGACGGAGUUGGGCCCAUAACUCCUAUCCUAAAAAAGGUGUUUUGAGAUAUUGUAAAUGAAGUUUCUAUACACAAUAAAGAUGCUAAAAAUGUUAGCUCUAUUUCUUCCUUUUCUCAGCUCGAGAUUCCUUUGUCCAGGGUGGUAGAAAGGAAUGUAUUUCCUUUAUCUUCAAAUUAACUUACCCUCUUUUUCUUCCCAAGAAAUUAUUUGUGACAAAUCAUGGGAAGAUAAUCUAUCUUAAUAUUUUUCUU